UACAGAGGUCUCGAGCGUUAGGCGGAAUCACUGGGCUUAAAGCGUGUGUAGGUGGAUGCCUAAGUACCUUGUGAAAUCCCACGGCUUAACCGUGGAACUGCUUGGUAUACUGGGUGUCUUGAGCCAGCUAGGGGCUACCGGAACAAAUGGUGGAGCGGUGAAAUGCGUAGAUAUCAUUUGGAACGCCAAUGGUGAAAACAGGUAGCUGGGGCUGUGCUGACACUGAGACACGAAAGCCAGGGGAGCGAACGGG
rnacentral:rRNA from 1 species